UUCCUUGGCUUAUAAUGUCUGAGACUCCUCACCAUGAUCCCUAGAAAGCCUCCAGGAGAUCCACCGAAAGAAACAAAAGAAUCCAAGCCAAAGUCCUCUUCUAAAGCUUCCUCAUCCAAGCAAAAAUCUUCAAGCAAAUCCCAAAUUCUUGUUUUAAGCCAACCAAAAACCACCCCUCAAAGCCCUAUGGUUUCCUGGAAAACUUUAUUCUAGAGGGAAAUAGAUCAAUUACAAAGACCUUCAACUUCACAAAUUUCGAAACUACCAGAAAGCCAAAUACAGGAAUGGUUAGCAGAUCUCGUCAACCAUCUUGAACUUUGCCAAGUCCUAAGGGAGUCCCUUCCUGAAGGACCCCAUAAAGAUGUGGUUACUGAUGUUUGUUUAAAGAACUUUGAGAAAGAGAUUGUUUUACACAAACCAAAACCUCUUUCUUAGCAAAAAACUGUUUCUCAAAUUGAUUUAGCUCCAAAAAUUAUCUCUUUAAUAGAUCUAACUU
rnacentral:misc_RNA from 1 species